UACUAGACACACUAAUUAUUUUUGUGAGGAUAAGUAACACGUUCUUUUUAAUCACAGUUGUUUGAUGCAUUAGCUCAACGGUUGAGAUUUGUGGUAGUUGGUGAUAGAGAAUGACAUUUACCGGUUUCUAUCCUGUUUUUUUUUUGUUUGCAUUAUAAACUACCGGUCAGCCACCAACCCCAGCCGGUUGAAUCAGCUUGACGUCGUGGAAUGAAUUCACAUGAUGCACGAGACAGCACGUCAUCUGUAAAAACCAAAUAUCUUCUUUUUGCCUCAACGUUAGUGUAAAGUAACUAGCAGACACCAACCGCACCGUAUCCUAAACCGAAGACAAUGUAUAUAAACCGAUGUGAAGUGUCGUUCUCGUGGUGCAUACCGGUUGGUGUGAUUAUUGUUUUUUUCAGCUCAGUAAUCAUGACUUAAAUCAAUUUAUAGCUCAACGUAUUUUUAGAUCGAAGAUUAAGAUGUUUCGUUCAAGAAACACAACUAAAAAAAGAUUAUCAUAUUUCACUAUGUUUAGAACAAUUACCGAAAAACUUAAUUUCGUAGGGGUUAGUUAACCUUGCUUUAUUGCAUAGUUUCAUCAUGCACUGACAUAGAAUGAUGAUAAGGAGGUUUGAAAUCUUUGAUUGUGUCCGUAUCUUUAGUGAAGGUUAUUGGUUCUAGUAGUUUAGUGGAUUUAGAAAUUCUUUUUGGAUUUAGAAAUCAUUGACUAAUCCAUUGAUUCUAAAAUCAGACAAACAGAUUUCAAAAUUAACUAUAUAGAUUUCAAAAUCAAAAUAAGUGGGUUAUUAUAAAUCAAUGAAAUGGAUAUAUAAAGUUCUCAUUGUGUAAUUAUGCAUCUAGUUCAUCAUUUUCAUGUGAUAUAUAUAUAUAUAUUUUUUCUUCUUCUAAAGUUUCUUAAUGUCUAAAAAAUUAUGUAUUCAUGUUUGAUGAUGUAUACAUUCGAUAAAAAAACUUAAGAACCUAUCAAAACAUGCACAAACACAUUGCUUAUGUUAUUUGAAUCACAAUAAUGAUAACUAAUUCAGUAUUUUCGUAUGCGAGAUAAGUUUUGUUUGCACCUAUCAAUUUGAAAGUUGAAGAAGUGUCAAUAAGUUCUCUCUUCACAAGAGAAAACAACUUGAGAAACAAUUCAUCAUCACUUUUGUAACAACAAGAUAAGUAAUAACACCAAUUUCGUUUUUAUAUGUAUUAUACAAUAUGUUUGUAUGCAAGACAUGUGCCUAAUGCAUGUUUUGAAAAUGAACAAAAGAGUAAUAUUAAGGUUCUUAUCAACUACGUUUAUUAGGAUAUUAGGAUACACACAACAAAACAAGGAAUUGGAAAAACCCAAUAAUACAAAUCCAGUCAAAAUAACAAGGUUUAACUCAAUAUUUGCUCUUUUGUGUUUUACUCUUAAAAUUAUUUAUAAAUCCACUCAAAUCUAAGUUAAAAUCAAAUCCUCAAAGAAAUCAUUAAUAUUGAAUAACACAUGAUUUUAAAAUCCAUUUUUAAAUUAUAGAACCAAUAACAACAGAUUUGAAAUUGGAUUUUAAAAUGAUAAAACCAAUAACACUUGAUUUGGCUUGGAUUUUAAAAUCCAUUAAAACACUUAAACCAAUAUGAAUAGAUACUUCACAGUGGUUAGUCCACUGAUUUUGACAGUAUAUGAAGUUUUAUUAAAUUAAUUGUUAUAAAAUUAGAAACGACAUUCUUGCACCAUGAAAAAAAGUUUAACAUACAUUAAUACAAAUAUAGAAUGUGGUUAUAAUUGUUUAAACAACACUAAAGAGUGCAAACUUCAAUAUAUAAAGCACUAAUCGAAAGGCUCAAUUUCAUAGGGGGUUAACUUUCAGAUUUUGAGAAAAAUUCAAAAUAUGACAAUCUUGCUUUAUUGCAUAGUUGUAUCCUGCACUGACAUAUGAUGAUGGCCAAAGAGGUUUGAAAUCUUUAUUAUGUCGUUUCUAUAAAGAAUAGAUAUUUCAUAGUGGUUAAUCCACUUAUUUAGGCAGUACAUGAAGUUUCUUAAAUUACUUGUUAAACAUUAGAGUGAUGUCUAUGUACCAUGAAAGAGAGUUUAACAUACAUUAAUAUAAAUUAAGAAUGUGGUUAGAAUUUUUUUAAACAACACUAAAGAGGAUAAAAUUCAAUAUAUAGAGAACAUAUCAAAAAAUCAAUUUCGUAGGGGUUUGAAAUUUUUGUUGUGUCUGUUUCUCUAGAGAAUAUAAAAAUUUCAUUGUGGUUAGUCGAUCGAUUUAAGAAGUAUAUGAAGUUUUAUUAAAUUAAUUGUUAAAAAUCAUAGAAACGAUACUCAUGUACCAAGAUGAGAGUUUAUAAUACAUUAAUAAACAUGUAUAAUGUGGUUAGAAAUUUUUAAACAACACUAAAAAGUGUAAACUUCAUUAUAUAGAGAAUUUACCAAAAACUCAAUUUUGUAGGGGUUAACCUUCAGAUUUUGAAAAAAAUUCAAAAAGAUGACAAUAUUGAUUUAUUGCAUUGUUGCAUCCUGAAUAUAGAUAGAAUGAUGGUAAAGAGGUUUGGAAUCUACGUUGUAUCCGUUUCUCUAGAGAAUAUAUAUAUAUAUUUAUAGUGUUUUGUCCACUAGUUCAGACAGUAUAUGAAGUUUUAAUAAUUAAUUGUUAAAAAUUAUAAACAAUACUCAUGUACCAUGAAAGAGAUUUAAGAAUACAUUAAUACAAAUAUAUAAUGUGAUUAGAAAAUUUUAAACAACACUAAAGAGUGUAAAUUUCAUUAUAUAUAGCAGUUACCGAAAACUCAAUUUUGUAGGGAUUAACCUUCAGAUUUUGAGAAAGUUCAAAAAUAUGACAAUCUUGUUUUAUUGCAUAGUUGCAUCAUGCACACACAUAAGACGAUGGCCAAAGAAGUUUGAAAUCUAUGCUGUGUCCGUUUCUCUAGAGAAUAUAUAUUUUAUAGUGUUUAGUACAUUAAUUUAAGUAGUAUGUAAAAUUUAUUAAAUUAAAUUUUUAAAUACUAUAGUGAUGUAUAUGUACCAUGAAAGAGAGUUUAGCAUACAUUAAUACAAUUGCAGAAUGUAGUUAGAAAUUUUUAAACAUCACAAAAGAAUGUAAACUUCAAUAUAUAUUGCAAUUAUCAAAAAACUCAAUUUUAUAGGGGGUUAACCUUCAGAUUUUGAGAACAAAUUUAAAAAUCUGACAAUUUUGCUUUAUUGCAUAGUUUCGUCUUGCUUUUGAGCAAGAUGGUUUGGAAUAUUUGUUAUAUCCCUUUCUUUAAUGUAUAGAUAUUUCAUAGUGGUUAGUCCACUGAUUUUGGCAGUACAUGAAAUUUUAUUAAAUUAAUUGUUAAAAAAUACAAACAGUACUCAUGUACAAAGAAAAAGAGUUUAGUAUACAUUAACAAAUAUUUAUAAUGUGGUUAGAAAUUUUUAAAAAACACUAAAUUCUUUUAAUUUAGCAUUUUUUAUCGAAAAACUCAGUUUUGUAAGGGUUAACCUUCAGAUUUUGAAAAAAAUUCAAAAAAUAUGAUAAUCUUUUUUUAUUGAAUAAUUGCAUCUUUAACAGACAUAUGAUGAUGGUCAAAGAGGUUUGGAACCUUUGGUGUCUCUAUUUUUCUAGUAAAUAGUGAUUUUAUAUUGGUUAGUCUACCAAUUUAGGGAGUAUUAUGAAGUUUUACUAAAUUAAUUGACAAAAAAUUUAAUCGAUACACAUGUACCAUGAAAGAGAGUUUAAUAUACAUUAAUACAAAUGUAGAAUGUGUUUAAAAAUUUGAAAAC